rnacentral:rRNA from 1 species
UACGUAGGUGGCAAGCGUUUGUCCGGAUUUAUUGGGUUUAAAGGGUGCGUAGGCGGCAUUUUAAGUCAGUGGUGAAAUACUUCAGCUUAACUGGAGAGGUGCCAUUGAUACUGGGAUGCUUGAGUACUGAUGAGGUAGGCGGAAUGGACGGUGUAGCGGUGAAAUGCUUAGAUAUCGUCCAGAACACCGAUAGCGAAGGCAGCUUACUAAGGAGUAACUGACGC